UACGUAGGGUGCAGCGUUAAUCGGAAUUACUGGGCGUAAAGCGUGCGCAGGCGGUUAUGUAAGACAGGGGGGAAAUCCCCGGGCUUAACCUGGGAACUGCAUUUGUGACUGCAUAGCUAGAGUACGGUAGAGGGGGAUGGAAUUCCGCGUGUAGCAGUGAAAUGCGUAGAUAUGCGGAGGAACACCGAUGGCGAAGGCAAUCCCCUGGACCUGUACUGACGCUCAUGCACGAAAGCGUGGGGAGCAAACAGG
rnacentral:rRNA from 1 species